GACGAACGCUGGCGGCGUGCUUAACACAUGCAAGUCGAACGGAAAGGCCCUGCUUUUGUGGGGUGCUCGAGUGGCGAACGGGUGAGUAACAUGUGAGUAACCUGCCCUUGACUUUGGGAUAACUUCAGGAAACUGGGGCUAAUACCGGAUAGGAGCUCCUGCUGCAUGGUGGGGGUUGGAAAGUUUCGGCGGUUGGGGAUGGACUCGCGGCUUAUGAGCUUGUUGGUGGGGUAGUGGCUUACCAAGGCUUUGACGGGUAGCCGGCCUGAGAGGGUGACCGGCCACAUUGGGACUGGGAAGCGGCCCAGACUCCUACGGGAGGCAGCGGUGGGGAAUAUUGCACAAUGGGCGGAAGCCUGAUGCAGCACCGCCGCGUGCGGGAUGACGGCCUUCGGGUUGUAAACCGCUUUCGCCUGUGACGAAGCGUGAGUGACGGAAAUGGGUAAAGAAGCACCGGCUAACUACGU
rnacentral:rRNA from 1 species